rnacentral:lncRNA from 1 species
UUUCGUCGGCUAUAGUUAUUUUUUUUAAUUUUUUAUAAGGUUUAGCCGACGAAAUAUAAAAUAUUUCGUCGGCUAUAGUUAUUUUUUUAAAUUUUUUAUAAGGUUUAGCCGACGAAAUAUAGUAAAUUUCGUCGGCUAUAGUUAUUUUUUAAUUAUUUAUUACACACUUUAGCCGACGAAUAUAUUAAUUGUUUCGUCGGCUAAAGUCUGGAAAAAAAACCGACGACAUGUUUUUCGUCGGCUAACUGUGGGACUAUAGCCGACGAAAAAAAAAAUUUCGUCGGCUAAAGUCAUCACAGACGAGCUUUUCCCGACGACACUAUAGCCGACAAGCCUUCGUCGGCUAAGAUCUUAGCCGACGAAUUAAAAUAACAGGCCGACGAAAAUUUUUCGUCGGCUAAAGUGCUUGUCCUGGUAGUGAGUCUUACUAACAUCUGUAAAAUGUUUCUCAUUUGUAUAUGAUCAUAAUGAUCACGUCACUUUUCAUCGUCUUAUUAGUAAGAAUCAAGUUUAUUGAUCUUCAUUUUUCAUGGAAUCAUAACCAUGACAACAUAUAUAGUGACUCACUUUUCACCCUUCUUCAAAUAAAUAGGUAGAGACAUCCGUUGCAUGAUCUGCAACUAUGAUUGGCAAAAUUUGCCCUACUAGUACUUAUUGAUCGAAUCGUGCAUACACAUUCAGACAAUAUGCAAACCAUUGUUUGCCAAACGAUGCAUCAGUUACGCAUCUUAAAUUCUUGCAUUCUUGCUUGCAUACUCAUAUUCAUUAACAGACUUUUAAUUAAGUCCCAAAAUUCUGCAAUUUACAUGCUAUUUUCCAUGAAAUAUAUAUCCAACUAGACAUAUUAAUUACCUCUUCAUCAGAAGCAAUUUAUCAUGUUCUGUUCCAGAUAUUUUAUACAGCAAUCUCACUAAUCUCAGACAUCUGAAAUGCAUCUAAUAAUCAUAUAUUUGACUUGUGAGAAUGCAGCACCAGUCAUGGAAAAAAUCACGAAUCUAAACAUCCAGGCCUAG